rnacentral:piRNA from 1 species
CAGCGGAUGGAAGAUUGUAUAGUCUU